rnacentral:rRNA from 1 species
CGGACAGAUGGGAGCUUGCUCCCUGAUGUUAGCGGCGGACGGGUGAGUAACACGUGGGUAACCUGCCUGUAAGACUGGGAUAACUCCGGGAAACCGGGGCUAAUACCGGAUGGUUGUCUGAACCGCAUGGUUCAGACAUAAAAGGUGGCUUCGGCUACCACUUACAGAUGGACCCGCGGCGCAUUAGCUAGUUGGUGAGGUAACGGCUCACCAAGGCGACGAUGCGUAGCCGACCUGAGAGGGUGAUCGGCCACACUGGGACUGAGACACGGCCCAGACUCCUACGGGAGGCAGCAGUAGGGAAUCUUCCGCAAUGGACGAAAGUCUGACGGAGCAACGCCGCGUGAGUGAUGAAGGUUUUCGGAUCGUAAAGCUCUGUUGUUAGGGAAGAACAAGUGCCGUUCAAAUAGGGCGGCACCUUGACGGUACCUAACCAGAAAGCCACGGCUAACUACGUGCCAGCAGCCGCGGUAAUACGUAGGUGGCAAGCGUUGUCCGGAAUUAUUGGGCGUAAAGGGCUCGCAGGCGGUUUCUUAAGUCUGAUGUGAAAGCCCCCGGCUCAACCGGGGAGGGUCAUUGGAAACUGGGGAACUUGAGUGCAGAAGAGGAGAGUGGAAUUCCACGUGUAGCGGUGAAAUGCGUAUAGAUGUGGAGGAACACCAGUGGCGAAGGCGACUCUCUGGUCUGUAACUGACGCUGAGGANCGAAAGCGUGGGGAGCGAACAGGAUUAGAUACCCUGGUAUAAAAG